UAGGGAAUAUUGCACAAUGGGCGAAAGCCUGAUGCAGCAACGCCGCGUGAGCGAUGAAGGCCUUCGGGUCGUAAACCUCUUUUCUUGGUGAAGAGUAAGGACGGUAAUCAAGGAAUAAGCCCCGGCUAACUACGUGCCAGCAGCCGCGGUAAUACGUAGGGGGCGAGCGUUAUCCGGAUUCACUGGGCGUAAAGAGCGUGUAGGCGGCUUCCAAAGUUGGCAGUGAAAGGUCCUGGCUUAACUGGGAUAUGCCUGCCAAUACUGGGGAGCUAGAGGGCAGCAGAGGAAGGUGGAACUCGCGGUGUAGCGGUGAAAUGUGUAGAUAUCGCGAGGAACACCAGUGGCGAAGGCGGCUUUCUGGGCUGUUCCUGACGCUGAGACGCGAAAGCGUGGGGAGUGAAGCGGAUUAGAUACCCGCGUAAUCCACGCCUUAAACGGUGGAUACUAGGUAUGGGGGGUAUCGACCCUCUCCGUGCCGAAGCUAACGCCUUAAGUAUCCCGCCUGGGGACUACGGCCGCAAGGCUA
rnacentral:rRNA from 1 species